rnacentral:rRNA from 1 species
CAGUAGCCGCGGGAAUACAGAGGGUGCAAGCGUUAAUCGGAAUUACUGGGCGUAAAGCGCGCGUAGGUGGUUUGUUAAGUUGGAUGUGAAAUCCCCGGGCUCAACCUGGGAACUGCAUCCAAAACUGGCAAGCUAGAGUAUGGUAGAGGGUGGUGGAAUUUCCUGUGUAGCGGUGAAAUGCGUAGAUAUAGGAAGGAACACCAGUGGCGAAGGCGACCACCUGGACUGAUACUGACACUGAGGCACGAAAGCGUGGGGAGCAAACAGGAUUAGAUACCCCCGUAGUCCCUGUCUCUUAUAC